rnacentral:lncRNA from 1 species
AUAAGGACAAUGAAUGCAAAAUGCAAUCUAGACAUGGCUAAAUCCUAAUCUAUAUGAUGAAAAUGCUCAUGGAUGAAUGAAUAAAACAAUGUAAAUAUGCAAGAUAUCAACUCCCCCAAACUUGUUAUUUUACUUGUCCACAAGUGAACUUUCUAGAACUCAUAGGGAGAGAGGUUGAAGUUGGGAGCUCAUAGCCAAAAGAAACACAACUAGCACACACAAUUAGCACACUCUCUUAUUACACUCUAGCUUCUCUAUGCCUAUCUCAAC